UCCAGGAUUGAUGCGUUGGUCCAAUGCGCC
rnacentral:sRNA from 1 species